UACAGAGGGGGCAAGCGUUGUUCGGAAUUACUGGGCGUAAAGGGCGCGUUGGCGGCCUUCUAAGUCGAACGUGAAAUCCCUGGGCUCAACCCAGGAACUGCGUCCGAUACUGGAAGGCUUGAAUCCGGGAGAGGGAUGCGGAAUUCCAGGUGUAGCGGUGAAAUGCGUAGAUAUCUGGAGGAACACCGGUGGCGAAGGCGGCAUCCUGGACCGGCAUUGACGCUGAGGAGCGAAAGCUAGGGGAGCAAACGGG
rnacentral:rRNA from 1 species